AGUUAACUAUUACAGAAUAUAUUGGGUAGCGACAAUAUAUUUUUUGUAGUUAACUUAUACGUAGUAGUGAUUAAAGUUCUCCCAAGGAUACUACUCGUCAGAAGUACACUUUGCAUGCAAAGUGUACUUCUU
rfam:Streptomyces sp. WAC00263 NODE_44_length_24879_cov_133.336273, whole genome shotgun sequence.